rnacentral:rRNA from 1 species
AUUGAACGCUGGCGGCAGGCCUAACACAUGCAAGUCGAACGAGGGGCGGAGGGGUGAGUAAUGUAUGGGAAACUGCCUGAGGGAGGGGGACAACAACUGGAAAUGGUAGCUAAUACCGCAUACCAUCAGAUGCGCCCAGGUGGGAUUAGCUUGUUGGUGGGGUAACGGCUCACAAAGGCGACGAUCCCUAGCUGGGCUGAGAGGAUGACCAGCCACACUGGAACUGAGACACGGUCCAGACUCCUACGGGAGGCAGCAGUGGGGAAUAUUGCACAAUGGGCGCAAGCCUGAUGCAGCCAUGCCGCGUGUAUGAAGAAGGCCUUCGGGUUGUAAAGUACUUUCAGCGGGGAGGCGUUACCCACAGAAGAAGCACCGGCUAACUCCGUGCCAGCAGCCGCGGUAAUAC